rnacentral:lncRNA from 1 species
UCCACUUCCUUUUCCCUAGAUUUAUUAUUAUUAAAUACACCUCUGUUUGUUUAAUAUGAUCCAUCUUUAUUUUUUAAGUUUUUCAUCAUAAAUUCAGCCAUAUUGUAAAGUUGAUAGAAAAUUCAAUUCUUUCUUGACCUUUUCAUUCUUCUUCAUCUUUAUUACUGCAUUUCGUUGAAAUUUGUGGGAGCACAAUCCAGAUACUACUGUUAUGCUCGGUGAUUCUCGGAAAAACUUACUAAGGUUUUCACUUGUUUAAGCACAUUUUGGAGCACCAGCCAUUUGUUUCUGCUGCAAUCAGCUUGGAGUUUGGAGGUUAAGCUAAUCCAUGGUUUGUGUUUGCUUCCAAACUAAAGAGAGUUAAAAAGGAGUCAAAGACAAUGAAUCGUAUUUCCGGGAAUCGAAUCGAAUGCUGUUUCAGAAAUUAUUUGGGUUCCACCCUUCUCUUGAUCCUGGGGAAGAACAGACUUAUAGAUGCUCCAGUAACUGAGAAGCUACCAAAACAAGUGUGACGUAUAAAUUGGCUGAAGAAGGGCAUUGUGAAUAUCAAAAUUUUCUACACGAGCAAGUUAGUAAGCAGUGAGGACAGAGGGGAAGGAGUCGUACAUCACACUGAAGCACCUGCUGCUUGCGCUUGUUCGUCUGAACAAGCCUCUCGUUCAUCUGAUGAGCAGGUGGCCAUAAUAGAUGGGACUUUUUCUUCAGGAGAUUCUCAAGACCUUCAGCCUCUACGGCCAAGAACAAAAGCCCCGCCCCUGACAGGUUUACUCCCAGACUUUUUGGUGGCAACUACUAACUAAACAUCAUUAACAAAAAAAUCCACAUUCCACAUAUCAGAUUAUAAUCAAAUGGACUAUUAAAUUUUUUGUAUAUUUCACUUAUUUUUGUAUGUAAGAUAGCAGAAAGAUACGAUAACAUCUCAUCUAUUUAAAAUAUAGAACAUCAUUUUUCUACUUUUUAAAUACAUAUACACUUUACAAAGUACACAAACAGAGGGAAUAUAGUGGAUCUCAUUCGAAUUUGAACAAAUGUAUGUUUUAACUGUUAGGCACACCGAUGACUCAAGUUGAUAAAUCUGGUGGCACCUAAUCUUCAUGAUAAAGAUACAAACCAAGGCCAAACCGAGCACAUGCCCUGCCAAAAGCCAACUCCUCGGCAGCGGCCACAGGGUCUACAACAUGGUCAGUGCUAGAAGAUACAGUCCCAGUUGAUUCACGGUAAGCCUGCAUCAUUAGAUAGAUAUGAUAAAUUUUUUGGUUGCUAAGAAAUGAUACCAGCUAAAACUGAGAAAAGUAACAAUCUGUAAAAGUUCAUUCUUAUCAUCUCAGAUUAAAGAGUCUAAUAUUGUAUUUAUCAAGAGAAAAGUCUAGUAAUUGUAUAAAGACCGCCAUUCCUGAUUGAAAAUACCAGCCAUCUUCCAUAUUUGGCCUCUUUCCCCAAAUCUAAGAUCAGAUAACCUUAAACAUGGGAUACUGGCAAUGUGUAAUUGUAGUUUUCCAAAGAUCCCAGCAAUUGAAAAAUGUAAGAAUGCCGGUGAGUGGUGCCCCCAAUUUUUCUAGAUUAAUUAAUAACAAUUAUGGAACUUUAAGUUAUCUCUAAUAGUGAGAUACAAUGCCGCCAAACAGUAUCUUUACAUAUUUGGAUGGAAUGCCUUUUCCUGCUAAAUCAAUAAAUGGCAGCACACAAGAACUUUUCAUGAAUUGGCAAGAAGAGAUCAUUAAUGUAGCAGCAAGACAUGGCAAUUGCCGGUAAGGAUAAGAAGGUCAAAGCUGCAUCCUCUUCUUUCUCUAAUCAUAGUUCCUUUUAGUUGUUUAGUGCAAUUCAGAUGCAAAGUAUUCUGGGGAAGUGAGUUCCUCAAUUUCUGCAACUAUUGGCUACAUAGCCAAGGGUCUGUUUAUCUAUUGUUACCUUACAACUCUGUUAGCCCUUCUUGCCACAAGUACUCAAUGUUGGACACUCUGACACUUAUUUUAUGGCAAAAAAUAUGUAAAAUUAUCAAAAAAAUUAAUUAUUGGACACGUAUUCAUGAUCGCUGGAAACAGCCCACUUCCAGCCAAGUCCAGGUAACACAGCCUGGCAUUGAGCAGGUAAUUCUCUGGUCAAUGUAUUUACCCACAAUGCUAGAACAUACUUGCACUUUAUUCGCACAAAACAAAGUUAAAUUAUUAUGUGAAUAACAUAAACCAAGGACAACAAAUUAACAAGAUAACAAGCCACUCAUUUGGGUAAACACCCAAUUGUUUCUAUGCAUUUCGACUUGUCGCCCAGACUUUAAGUCUAAAGCUGCCUGAGGUUUGCAUUUUGAAUCUUCCUAUUGCCAGUCACAUAAUCCAACCUUCUAGAAUUUAAGGCCUGGAUUGCAGGCUGGUAGCUUAACCAUUAACAAAGACUAAUUUCAUUACAACUAAAGUAUGACAUAGACCAACUGGACAAAUACUAUAUUUCUUCACUGGAUUCAAGUUCAAACUGAAAGUUUCUUAGACUUGUACUUAUCUGACAAAUAUACGCAUGAUGCAUCCAAAGGAGAUCGUACAUGAUGAUCUUGAUACCCUCUCCUUUCAGUGAGCAACCAAUAAACAUCAAGUGCUAUCUUCAGUGAUCAAUUUAAACAUAUAAACGUUUCCAUGAAUUUGAGUUUCUGGGAGCCUUUUAGAGAAGCCCAGUUUAAAACUCCUUACAUCAAUCCCUGAAAGCCACCCCUGUAGCACUACCAUCUUCAUCCUUGGUCAUGGAAACUAGUUUCUUCGAUCAGACUGUAUCCAUUUGUGUAUAUCACUUGUUACCUAGACUCCCCUUUUUUCUCAUUCCGGGACACGGCACAACAUGAGUGUGGGUCCUUCAUGCUGGAAUUGGACACUUAACCCUCUUGAGGUCGAGUCCAGAAUGUAAUCUAAGACGACAAGACAGUUUCCGUCUUCUAGAUCAUCCUUUUGAUUUUAUUCCAUAAGUAGUUAUAUUUUACUAGGCACAUCUGAUUGUUGGUACUAUACAAUAUUGUUUUAGGAAGAACAGAAAGUUUAGAGUAUAUGCAUACUUCUAUGUGUUCACAAUAACACUUUGCAUCCCGAGUCCGUGGUGUACAGUAUCGGGUUUCCUAUUUUAUUUUUUAACCAAGAACCCGACACUUGAUCAGCACCGGGGCCCUACACCAAUACCCGAGUUUGGGUGACAUGCAUAUAGUAUGAAGAAACUGAUUCAAUUGAUUCCUCACGAUAAAACUCACUCUUUCUGGUACAAAUCAGACACAAAUUAUUCUACCUCUUACAAUCAAGUUUACAAAUUCCAUACUGCAUUAGCUACUGACAGUUAAUCUAAUGAGGCUACUUUAUUCUUUAUAUAGUCUAUACGUACCCUGAUUGUGAAAUUGUAUUUAACAUAAAUAUAUGUAUUGCAUUUCCUCCGGCUACAAAUUGCUUUAUGUCGUUAAACCUAGAAUCAGCAUUCUAUAUCAUAAGCCAAAUUUGUAUGACUAAGAAAACUAAGACAAAGAUCUCUACAUAUAAAUAAUAAAUAUCUUCAAGUGCAUCUGAAUUUACUCGGAUACUGGAAAAGAGAAGUGCAUAUUUAAAUGUAACAUAUACUGUAAGGUUUAAAGUAAGCCAAACCUCUCCAUCAGAACCACGUACUGUGACACGAUACACAACAGUUACACUUCCACUGUCAGAAAAUAUCACAUCCCGUAUUUCUCCACACCAACCUGUAAGACAUGUUUUAGCAUAAGAAGCUAUGGACAACUGCAUUUUUAAGACCAGUAACUGAAUGCAAUUGAAUAAAAUAAAGUUCAGCGGUGACUUUAUCCUAAGCUUGAAGUAGUUCAUGGUCUCACUAGAAUUUAGCACUUUAAAAUUCAUAAUGAGAUAUCUAGUUAACAAUAUAAAGUUUCAAAAACAGAAGGUUCACUAUUCCGAUAAGUCUUACCAGUAUAUUACACUGUGUAUUACCGGCAUGGUAAGCAGAAAGGGAAAAAAAAAAAAAAGAGAAGCAAAAGCACAUUAGAAAAACAGGAGUCAGAAAAAUUACUUUUGGAGAACCAAUUGGGGUUGAUCUGUCUACAUGUCCUGAUCAGGGACAAACUUAAACUAUAUUUUCCUUUCAAGAUGCGAAACACUCUUAAUAAAGAUGAUGCCUAUGACAUUCUACUACAGUGAGGAAAGCUACAAGAAAAGAUGCAUAGUUCAUUUGCAAGUACAACCCGCCUAAAUGGUUUGUAUUACAUCAUUUGGAAGUUCACAUAGUCCAUUUGCAUUCUUCUUGUAUCUUAGUCGGUGACUCUUCAAACACAAAUGUGAUAAGCACUACUUAUGAUUUGUACCCACCUAAGCUUCUAUCAACACCUUAAUGUUGUGUUUGGUUGGGGAGAAUGGAAUGGAAUGACUAGAAAUAAAUGAAAAUAGUAGAAGUAGGAGGUAAGUUUUGAAAAAACAUUGAGUGAAUGCAAAAUUGUUAUGAUAAGCAUUGUUGUCACGGCGCUCGACUAGUCGCGAGUCAGGUUGAGAAAAUCGACUGGAGAGGUCGACUUGCGAAUUGUCGACUAGUCGGUCGACUUGGUCGACUAGUCGGUUGACAAGUGCAAAAUUCAAUCAAAAAUUAAAAUGAAAAAAAUAAAUUCUAUGAACCUGCUCAAAAUCAACAUGUUAAUCUAAGUUUAUAGAUCUCUGUGUGUGUAUGUGCUUAUUUAUGCAUAAGUUGAUUAAAUUGAAUAUACAUGUAUCAUAAUCUGUUUAUAUAUUAAUACAAUUAAUGUGUGUAGUGUGUUAAUGUGUGUACAUGAAAGGGGAAAAAAGAUAUGUUUGUAACUAACAUAUCUAUUUUGUGAUUAAUAUACAUAUGAUUAAUUAGAGGAAACCACAUAUAUAACACAUAUAUUAAUAUAUAUUAUUUAAUUAUUAUUAAUUAACUUUUCGACUACUAGUCGAUAAGCUGGACCUCUAUCGACUCAACUUAUCGACGUGACAACCAUGAUGAUAAGAUUUGAGAAGAAAGUGAGUAUAAGAUGAAAUGGAGAUUGGGGGUGUGAUCUCUAGCAUAAGGUGCAAGGAAUGGAAUGGAGAAAAGAAUGAAAUUUUUAAACAUUUGUCCAUAACAUAGUGCAAUUUUCAUUCCGUUCCUUCCAUAUUCAUUCACCCCAACCAAACACAACAUAAGAUCUAGUAUCGUAGCUUAUGUUAGAAGCCUAAUAUUAUAAAAUUUUGAUCUGAACUCUAAGACCUGGAUGCUUUCCUAAAGAGGGCACCCAGUGAUCCACUAAUUAAUCCCCUCACAAUAACUUUUCGAGUGAGUACGAAUACUUGACACUUCCCAGUCCAUUCUCUGGUGGGAAGGGUAAAAUAAGAUAUGGGGACAUCAAUUGGGGACAUCAAUUGGAUGCUAUCGAUAAUAGUGGACCGAGUAAAGGUAGAAAAAUAUACCUGGAGCAUAAAAACUCAACAUACGGUUGGCGUGGUACCUGCACAUAGAAGAAGAGUUUCGCAAUUAGAUGAUCAUAUGAUAGCAGAGAAAGACAUAUCAUAUAUAUUUAAAAAAAAUUCUAAAAAAAUUAAAAUAAAUUCAAACCAGGGAAUGAAGGGAGUGGAAGUGUUGAUAAGAUCCUCAUGAGUCUUGGUAAUGAUAUUAUCAGGGAUCCUCUUGUUCAGGUCUCGAAGAAUUUCCGCGAGGGGGCGCGUGAUGCAAGACGAUAAGUUCGAGUCCAUGGGCACUACAUAAUUCGAAUUGGGGACUGCCGCAGGUGGGUCCCCUCCGCCGCCGCUGCUCCGCUCCAUAGCUAGAGCUCGCAUCCAAUCUC